rnacentral:rRNA from 1 species
CCUACGGGAGGCAGCAGUGGGGAAUCUUGCACCAUGGGGGAAACCCUGAUGCAGCGACGCCGCGUGAGUGAAGCAGUAUUUCGGUAUGUAAAGCUCUAUCAGCAGGGAAGAACAUGACGGUACCUGACUAAGCAGCCCCGGCUAACUACGUGCCAGCAGCCGCGGUAAUACGUCGGGGGCAAGCGUUAUCCGGAUUUACUGGGUGGAACGGGAGCGUAGGCGGCGCUGCAAGUCCGGAGUGAAAGCCCAUGGCUUAACCAUGGUACUGCUCUGGAAACUGUGGAGCUUGAGUGCGGGAGAGGCAGGCGGAAUUCCUAGUGUAGCGGUGAAAUGCGUAGAGAUUAGGAGGAACACCAGCGGCGAAGGCGGCCUGCUGGACCGUAACUGACGUUGAGGCUCGAAAGCGUGGGGAGCAAACAGGAUUAGAUACCCGUGUAGUC